UAUUUCACAAAUGCACGUAUAUUUCACAAACGGAUUGUCCAAGACAAUAUAUGACCACUCAGCCUCAAAAGGGACAUCCCUACGCGUAAAACCAGUGGUAAGACUGUAUAUUUAUUCAAUGUUUAGUCCCAGAUAUUGACUGUAGAAUGACAUAGUAUAAUUUUUAAAAACUUUGUCUCGUUUAUUUUGUUAUUCAAUGAGCAGCGUUUUCACUGCUGUAUUGGCAUAUUUUAGGGCAAAUGUCGGGUUUAUCUUGUUGCUACGGAAUAUUACAUUACAUUACAGGCAUUUGGCAGACGCUCUUAUCCAGAGCGACCUACAACAAAGUGUAUAACCAUAACCAGGAACAAGUGUGUCGAAAACCCUAGAGGGAAGUAGCCUACCGUUCCAAGUGUAGGGAACAACCGCAUAGUUAAACUUGGACCCUGUAGGUUAAACUGAUUAACACUAACACAAACAAGAACAGCAACAACGCAGUCUACGCAAAAAUACAAGCAAUAGUUAAGACGAGUUCCCUACAAACACACUACGUAAUGACAACGUUACACUUUGGUCGUAAUUUGGUAAGUCGCAACAUUACCAACAGGUGACGUUGUGACAACAUUGCUCUAUGGUCGCAAAAUAACCAGACCUCCUGGAGACUGUUCUGCAAUGUUGCAGUAACGUUAUAGAAUUACGUAAAUACGAUGUAAUUUAAUAACGUAACAAUUACGUUAUAUCACAGUCCUCAUCCUUACUUAAUUUGAAACAUUACUGGUAGGUUGUCAGAACGUUUGUAAAUGACGUAUUGGUUUACAGUAAAAUAUCUAUCUGUCUAUCUGUCUGCGCGUUUACGCUUGGACCGUUAACACGUUAUAUCCAAUGCAGGGUUUAUUAUUAUUAUUAUUAUUAUUAUUAUUAUUAUUAUUAUUAUUAAUUAAUUUAUUUAUUUAUUUUAAUAUAGGAUAUGAUGGAUAUGCAGGUAUAGGGUUCUAGGGUGGCUGACAUGGAUAGGGAUUUUAUAGUAGGACUCGGUGUAAAGCAUGGAGGAUAAAAAAUAGCUUAGGGUGAAGGGAUUUUUGAGUGUAAAUCUAUUGUCUGAUAAACACUCCGGAGCGGAAGGUGGGGGUAAUUCACCAAUAAGCUGUGCACACCCUCUGUAAAACAAGAUGGUAUAUCCAAUCACAGGCGCAUGUUGCUGUGACGUGCUCUUGGAAGAAGGUCGUUGUGAUUUCAAAUUCUCCGUGGGAAAAUCUGGGUUUGACGGCGUUCAAGAGCAGAGUUCUCUACAUUUGGCCCAACAGCUCAAAUGGAAACUAGAGCAUAAGAUCAGAAUGAAGCUCCCACACAUGGCCUUAUGACUGUUGCCCCAGUGAAGAACCCGAGGUCCAGCCUUCCCCACUCAAGACAUGCCUGAGACAAGAGUGACUGUAUUCCAAGUUGAUCCAAGGUGAUCCUAACUUAAAUGUAGUUCUUGAAAAAGACAAAAAUACUCAACACUAUUAAUGUUGAAAUCAUUGGUCUAUGGUUAUUACUGUCCUGAAACGACCCUUUGCCCUUUUUAUGUUUUUGUAUCUAGUUUUGUAUGUUUGUCUCAUCUUCUGUACCAUACUUAUGCUUGCACAUAUUGCCUACCUAGAAAUGUAACUUGAACCUGAUCUCAAUGGUAUUCUAUACAAUGACAAUAAAGGCUUUCUAUUCUA